GCGGAUCCGCGGCCGCUGCAGAGUUUGAUCCUGGCUCAGAUUGAACGCUGGCGGCAGGCCUAACACAUGCAAGUCGAGCGGCAGCGGAAAGUAGCUUGCUACUUUGCCGGCGAGCGGCGGACGGGUGAGUAAUGUCUGGGGAACUGCCUGAUGGAGGGGGAUAACUACUGGGAACGGUAGCUAAUACCGCAUAACGUCGCAAGACCAAAGUGGGGGACCUUCGGGCCUCAUGCCAUCAGAUGUACCCAGAUGGGAUUAGCUAGUAGGUGGGGUAACGGCUCACCUAGGCGACGAUCCCUAGCUGGUCUGAGAGGAUGACCAGCCACACUGGAACUGAGACACGGUCCAGACUCCUACGGGAGGCAGCAGUGGGGAAUAUUGCACAAUGGGCGCAAGCCUGAUGCAGCCAUGCCGCGUGUAUGAAGAAGGCCUUCGGGUUGUAAAGUACUUUCAGCGAGGAGGAAGGUGUUGUGGUUAAUAACCACAGCAAUUGACGUUACUCGCAGAAGAAGCACCGGCUAACUCCGUGCCAGCAGCCGCGGUAAUACGGAGGGUGCAAGCGUUAAUCGGAAUUACUGGGCGUAAAGCGCACGCAGGCGGUUGAUUAAGUCAGAUGUGAAAUCCCCGGGCUUAACCUGGGAACUGCAUUUGAAACUGGUCAGCUUGAGUCUCGUAGANGGGGGUAGAAUUNCAGGUGUACCGGUGAAAUGCGUAAAA
rnacentral:rRNA from 1 species